rnacentral:lncRNA from 1 species
GUGCAACUUGUGAACUUAUGCGAUUCUAGUGUGUGAUUUAUUUAUUAGGAUGAUGAAUGAUGUAUGAACCUUGGUUAUUAUGUAUGAAAUAUCUAUUUGCCCUAGUCGAUGUUGGAUUGUUUAAGUGUGAAUGUUGGAACCUCGAAACUCUGAAAAAGACUAAGAAUUAUUUAACACUUGAACUUGAAUAUGUAAAUGAAACUGGUUGCAUUGUUUGGUGAGGCCGCGGUCUGGUUGGAUUGGGGAAUCCAGGAUCGGAUCUUACAAGUUGGUAUCAGAGCCUUCUUGAUUCUAGGAUUUGUUGGGUUAUUGGUUCACCACACACUUGGGUGUUUGGACUCAUGGUGAGAUUGUUGGGUUCUAUGUAAUCUUUUGUACUGAUUAACUUAGGAGUGAUUGAGGUUGUGUGUUCAGUUGUGGACUAACCUUUUGUUUUUGUUUGUAACUCCUAAGGGUACAAGAAGGU